rnacentral:rRNA from 1 species
UACGUAGGGUGCGAGCGUUGUCCGGAAUUAUUGGGCGUAAAGAGCUCGUAGGCGGUCUGUCGCGUCGGUCGUGAAAACUUGGGGCUUAACCCUGAGCUUGCAGUGGGUACGGGCAGACUAGAGUGCGGUAGGGGAGACUGGAAUUCCUGGUGUAGCGGUGAAAUGCGCAGAUAUCAGGAGGAACACCGGUGGCGAAGGCGGGUCUCUGGGCCGAUACUGACGCUGAGGAGCGAAAGCGUGGGGAGCGAACAGG